GCCUGGGUGGUUCAGUCUGUUAAGCAUCUGACUUCAGCUCAGGUCAUGAUCUCACAGAUCGUGAGUUCCAGCCCCACCUCGGGCU
rnacentral:tRNA from 1 species